GAAUGGAUGAGGUGAAGGGGCUCAGGGAAAGAGAAGAGAAAAGGGACAGAGGUCAAACCUCGGGCAGGUUUAAGAGAUUGAGGCCAAGGAGGAAAGAAUUGGAGGAUGUAAGGCUUGAGGGAAGAUCCAGAGAAGUUUAAAUAUCCUAGGAAAGCGAGAAGGAAGGAAAAGGUUAAUUCAAGGCGCAAAGUUAAGGUUAAUGAACAGGAUAGGGGAAAGACUGAGAAAAGAAAACGGGACAGGGUUUCUAACAUGUUCUUUGAAAGAUGUGAGGCAAAACUAUGAAUAAGAACUGUGUGAAGUGUAAAGUGGAAGAAGCCAUUAAAAAGACUCUACUCCUUGCUUUCCAGGGGCUCCUUUAAGAGGUACCUUUCCCUCUAUGCGUGGCCCACUUCAAGAGCAGGAUUGCUGCCCUGCAAGGCUGAUGGACAAGGCCAGUUCUUGGGGAGUUAAAUUCCAGUCAGUCCUUACAAAAGGAAGUGUUGUCAACGUAAUGAUGAGCUGGACUAAGGCGAAAACACUGUGUCUUUUCCAAGAAGAAGGUUGCCACAAAGCUUGAUACCCUGGAAAACUGAGCCUUUGUAAAUGCUGUUUAUGAGAUUUUGUUCUUUGGGCCAAAAAAUCAGAUGCUGGUAAAUGAGCCAGAUUGUCCCCAGUGUCCAAGUCACUCUGAAAGCUCAGUACAGCCAGCUGGGUUCAGCCAGCCUUGAUGCACACUGGAAGAGUCUCCUGUGGUGAGAUGGAGCAGGGAAUCAAAAACAAAGAAGAGAAAGGCUGGCUUUGGUCUCAUAAGUAAAAAAUGUUCUCCUUCAUAGCAAUGGUGUUACCAAGAAGAAAAGGGAACUCUGGUAGGGUAUCAUAAAAAGAAGACACACCUGUACCUCUUUCCAGCCUCCUGUGUUACCAUGAGAUCUCUUGUCACAUGCAUUCCCACCAUGAUGCCAUCCACCAGGUUGUGAAGCAGUCUUCACCAGAGACCAAUCUUGGACUUUGAGCCUCCAAAAACCUAUAAGGAUCUCUGAAGUUUUGCCCUUAGUGGCUUUCCUCCUUAUCAGCCCCCACACUGAUGGUAAUGUAGCAGUUGCUAAUUUUCAGUGUAUAGCUCCUGGUUGAUGGAGAGACUGCACUGCAAUUUCUUAUGGGCAUUCUUCCUCACCUCCAUCCCAGAGGCCACCUUGGGAAAUUCUGCAGAAAUAAUUUUCAUAUAUUAGAAUUUAUGUGGACAGGGCAUAAAUAUUUAAUGGAAAAUAAAGUGACCAAACACCUAGUGUACUGUGCUUUUAAGUGGUUUUCCUCUUUUUAAUCGGUUCCUUUAUUAGCUAUCAACUGAUGUAGUGGACUUUGUAGAAUAGAAGAUAUCUUUAGAGAAUAAAACUUUGUAAUAAAAUGAAAGAGAUUUUUCAUGGUCAGAGAGUUUAUUUUCUAACAUGGCAAUGGAAUGAAGAUAUUCAAAGGAAGCAAAAACAUUCUCUUUUUAUGAGUAUUUAGUAUCUUGAAGUCCCUUCCCAGUCAAGAAUUUAAUCACCCUUCCAGAAGGGGAGAAAAAGAGGAUGAGAAAAAGUAUAAGUAACAGAAGACACAUUUAUGAAAGAAUUCAGAGUACAUGUGGCCAAGAGAGCUACUUUUCUCUUAUCAUGGAGAUAAUGUAACAGGAUAAUGAUAUUAAUAAUUCCUGAAGAAAAAGUCAGUUUGAUAUUAUAGUCGUGCAAUGUGCAACAACAAAGUCAUGAGAUUUAAAAAAAAAAAAUUUCUCCUCACCCUUAUAAAAACAACAAACUUUUCUUCAUUGAA